CAGUACUAAGGGUUAACUUAACCACUACAGUACUAAGGGUUAACUUAACCACUACAGUACUAAAGGGUAAACUUAACCACUACAGUACUAAGAGGUUAACUCUUACCACUACAUUACUAAGGGUUAACUCUAACCACUACAGUACUAAGGGUUAACUUAACCACUACAGUACUAAGGGUUAACUUAACCACUAUAUUAAGGGGCUAGCCCUUACCACUACAGUAUGAAGGGUUAAUCUAACCACUACAGUACUAAGGGGUAAACUUAACCACUACAGUACUAAGGGGUAAAUUUAACCACUACAGUACUAAGGGUUAACUUAACCACUACAUUACUAAGGGUUAACUCUAACCACUACAGUACUAAGGGGUUAACUCUAACCCAGGUUGCCCUUACCAUUAAGCUAUCCCUGUCAGGUUUGAUGAAAACUUUAGUGGACCUUAAGAUUGAAAUGUAAAUACAGAGCUUUCCUUACUGCUAUAAUACCUAACCCUCUAACCCUAACCCUCUGACCCUAACCCUCUAACCCUAACCCUCUAACCCUAACCCUCUAAACCUAAUGCUCUAACC
ensembl:lncRNA